UACGUAGGUGGCAAGCGUUGUCCGGAAUCACUGGGCGUAAAGCGCGCGCAGGCGGCCGUUUAAGUCUGGGGUGAAAGCCCGGAGCUCAACUCCGGGACUGCCUUGGAUACUGGAUGGCUUGAGCAUUGGAGAGGCAAGGGGAAUUCCACGUGUAGCGGUGAAAUGCGUAGAUAUGUGGAGGAACACCAGUGGCGAAGGCGCCUUGCUGGCCAAUUGCUGACGCUGAGGCGCGAAAGUGUGGGGAG
rnacentral:rRNA from 1 species